CUAAUGGUCAUAGCAUUAAGUGAAUUUGAAUCAACACACAUGCGUAGGGAUUGAUCCUUCUUCUUCACAAAGAUAGCCAGACAAACCCCAAGGAGAAGAACUAGGGCGAAUAAGACCCUUCUUCAACAACUCAUUCAACUAGAUCUUAAGCUCAGCUAGCUCAUUCGGUGGAAUUCUAUAUGGUCUUCUAGAGAUAGGAGCAGUGCCUAGAAUCUACUCAAUUUUAAACUCCACAUCACGGUCUAGAGGGAUUCUAGGCAAUUCAUCAAGAGAGAU
rnacentral:lncRNA from 1 species